GACGAACGCUGGCGGCGUGCUUAACACAUGCAAGUCGAGCGGUAAGGCCUCUUCGGGGGUACACGAGCGGCGAACGGGUGAGUAACACGGGGGUGACCUGCCCUCGGCUCUGGGAUAAGCCUGGGAAACUGGGUCUAAUACCGGAGAUGACCUUUCGUCUGAUGGGGUUUGGGGGAAAGUUUUUUCGGCUGGGGAUGGGCCCGCGGCCUAUCAGCUUGUUGGUGGGGUGAUGGCCUACCAAGGCGACGACGGGUAGCCGGCCUGAGAGGGCGACCGGCCACCCGGGGACUGAGACACGGCCCAGACUCCUACGGGAGGCAGCAGUGGGGAAUAUUGCGCAAUGGGCGGAAGCCUGACGCAGCGACGCCGCGUGGGGGAUGACGGCCUUCGGGUUGUAAACCUCUUUCGACCCCGACGAAUUUGGACGGUAGGGGUAGAAGAAGCACCGGCCAACUACGUG
rnacentral:rRNA from 1 species